rnacentral:rRNA from 1 species
GGAAUCUUGCGCAAUGGGGGCAACCCUGACGCAGCCACGCCGCGUGCUGGAAGACGGCCCUAUGGGUUGUAAACAGCUUUUGGUCGGGAAGAACCCCGGAGUUUCGACUCCGGCUGACGGUACCGAUUGAAUAAGCACCGGCUAACUCCGUGCCAGCAGCCGCGGUAAUACGGAGGGUGCAAGCGUUGUCCGGAAUUAUUGGGUGUAAAGGGUGUGCAGGCGGAAGUCUAAGUCGGAGGUGAAAUCUUGCCGCUUAACGGUAAAAGUGCCUUCGAAACUGGAUUUCUUGAGUUCGGAAGAGGUUGGUGGAAUUCGUGGUGUAGCGGUGAAAUGCAUAGAUAUCACGAAGAACACCGGUGGCGAAGGCGGCCAACUGGUCCGAUACUGACGCUGAGACACGAAAGCGUGGGGAGCGAACAGGAUUAGAUACCCUGGUAGUCCACGCUGUAAACGAUGCAUGCUAGUUGUUGUCCCCUUGGGGGCAGUGACGCAGUUAACGCAGUAAGCAUGCCACCUG